UACGGGAGGCUGCAGUCGAGGAUCAUUCGCAAUGGGGGAAACCCUGACGAUGCGACGCUGCGUGGAGGAUGAAGGCCCUCGGGUCGUAAACUCCUGUCAUGAGGGAAAAGGCGAAGGGACCCAACACGUCCCCUGGUUGAUGGUACCUCAAGAGGAACGGGCGGCUAACUCUGUGCCAGCAGCCGCGGUAAU
rnacentral:rRNA from 1 species